AAGUGCUCCCCGGGGAGAAUCCAGAUUGGUCGGGAGUCUAGUCAUGUGACUGACGCGGACUGACCCACAUUUAUAGCGUCCUCCGGAAUCAUACGACCUCUGAUGUGGAAGAACGAGCAUAAAUGAAGGGAAAGAAAGAGAGAAAGGAUGACAUUGUCUGUACCAACACCCAGAAAGGCAGCUCCUUUCUUCACAGAGUAAUGGCUCUGGAAAACAUGAACAGAUUCAGUCUACUAAGUAAGACAUGUGUCCUUACCUCUGGAGAUGUAAAGAUGGCCAAACGUGGGAGACUCCACAGCCCCUGGCUUUUG